rnacentral:rRNA from 1 species
UACGUAGGGUGCGAGCGUUGCCCGGAUUUAUUGGGCGUAAAGAGCGCGUAGGCGGCCAGGUAGGUGGGGUGUGAAAACUGGAGGCUCAACCUUCAGACGUCGACCGAAACCCCCUGGCUAGAGUCCGGAAGAGGAGAGUGGAAUUCCUGGUGUAGCGGUGAAAUGCGCAGAUAUCAGGAAGAACACCCGUGGCGAAAGCGGCUCUCUGGACCGGUACUGACGCUGAGACGCGAAAGCGUGGGGAGCGAACAGG